rnacentral:tRNA from 1 species
GUCAGUUUGGCCGAGUGGUCUAAGGCGCCAGACUCAAGUUCUGGUGGAGAAAUCAGCGUGGGUUCGAACCCCACAGCUGACA